rnacentral:rRNA from 1 species
CCUACGGGUGGCAGCAGUGGGGGAUAUUGCACAAUGGGGGAAACCCUGAUGCAGCGACGCCGCGUGGGUGAAGAAGUAUUUCGGUAUGUAAAGCCCUAUCAGCAGGGAAGAAAGAAAACGGUACCUGACUAAGAAGCCCCGGCUAACUACGUGCCAGCAGCCGCGGUAAUACGUAGGGGGCGAGCGUUAUCCGGAUUCACUGGGUUUAAAGGGUGCGUAGGCGGGAUGCCAAGUCAGCGGUAAAAUCGCGGGGCUCAACCUCGCUCCGCCGUUGAAACUGGCGUUCUUGAGUGGGCGAGAAGUAUGCGGAAUGCGUGGUGUAGCGGUGAAAUGCAUAGAUAUCACGCAGAACUCCGAUUGCGAAGGCAGCAUACCGGCGCCCAACUGACGCUGAAGCACGAAAGCGGGGGUAUCGAACAGGAUUAGAUACCCCAGUAGUC